rnacentral:snRNA from 1 species
UUACUUACCUGGACGGGGUCGACGGGCGAUCAACAAGGCCCGUGGCCUGGGUCAAUGGCCCACAUUGCACUUGGUGGGUGCGUUGGCCCAUCAUCUCCCCAAGUGGGAGAGU